CUUGUUUUGUCCAGCAGAGGGGGCUGCUCGCUAUAUCAGCUUCAUUCACAGUUCUUCUUCUACUAACUACUUGCUCAUGCUAGUUUUAGAGAAAAAAGCUGUGGAAAACUCAGCCAGAAGCUAGAAAGUGUCAAGUGAAUCCACAACAUCACCACAAAUGUAUUUUCAAGCAAGAGGAGUAGCAAGGAUCGGACCAAUACACAGUGUGCGGGGGAAGAAUGGCAGCGGUAGAACAUCAACAGAAGAAAAAGCAUAAAGCCUCUCUGAUUGCCCGUGUUGGUAUGCCCUCUGCCACCACAUUCUUCAAGAAGGUAGAGCCUUCCCAAGAAGAAUAUGAUUUAGCUGUGCAGGAGGGUGUCUUUGCAUAUAUGCUGACAUGGAAGCUUGAUAAGCUGAAGUUUACAUGUGCUAGGACAAAAUGUGAAGCCAUAGUGAGUAAUGUGUUAGUACCAUGGUCAACUACUUUGGUAACAGAGGACCUAGACCAGGUUGAAUUUGUGUCCCUGUCCAUUGAUGCGUCCAAUGAUGGACAUGUAAAGCUGCUGCCAAUAGUCGUCAGAUAUUGUAAGAUAUAUGAUGGCAACACAUCCGUGGAAACAAAACAGCUCGAUUUUGUUGAAUUGAAAGUAGAAACAGCAGAGGAGAUUGCAGCUGAGGUCCUGGUGGUCAUCCAAAAAUGUAACCUGGAAAACAAAGUCGUGGCAUUCUCUGCCGACAACACAAAUGCCAACUUUGGAGGACUGAAUAGGCUGGGGAGGGUCAAUGUCCAUACCAAAGUUAAAAAUGCUCUGCAGUGGAACGGCCAAAACAGACCAAACAUGGCCAAAACAGCUUUGGAUAUGAUUCCCCUUGAUGUUGAGUACCUGCUCACAAAGAUAUUUGGAUAUUUUCAUAUUUUCACCGUCAGAGUAGAAAGACUGAAGAGCUUUCGUAAGUUUGUUGGCCAGGAGUACCAUAACAUUUUAGGACACAGCCAUGUUUACUGCCUGUCCAUGCUCCCUGCUCUAGAAAGAGUGCUGAAAAUGUAUGUGCCAUUGAAAUCAUUUUUUCUUCUGAAGACAAAUGCCUUGUUGUCCUGUGAACAAUGUUUGAAGAUCCACUGAUUGAACUUUGUCUGGCCUUAGUCCA